rnacentral:rRNA from 1 species
UAUACAAAGGUAUUGAAAUAAGAUUUUAAAUGAGUGCUAAGAGAAUGAUUGAACAAUUAUAGGCUUUCUUUAGUUAAAUAAUUAAAUUUAAUUUUUUUAGUGCAAAAGCAAAAAUUAAAUUUAGGGACAAGAAGACCCUAUGAAUUUUAAUUUAAUUUAUAAUUUGAAAUUUUAAAUUAAAUUUGAUUGGGGCGAUGGAAAAAGAAUGAGUAUCUUUUUUAGUUKUAAAAAUUGGUUCCGUUUUUAACGAUUAAAUGAGAAAAAUACUCUAGGG